GACGAACGCUGGCGGCGUGCCUAAUACAUGCAAGUCGAGCGAGUCUGCCUUGAAGAUCGGAGUGCCUGCACCCUGUGAAACAAGAUACAGGCUAGCGGCGGACGGGUGAGUAACACGUGGGUAACCUGCCCAAGAGAUCGGGAUAACACCUGGAAACAGAUGCUAAUACCGGAUAACAACAGAUGAUGCCUAUCAACUGUUUAAAAGAUGGUUCUGCUAUCACUCUUGGAUGGACCUGCGGUGCAUUAGCUAGUUGGUAGGGUAACGGCCUACCAAGGCGAUGAUGCAUAGCCGAGUUGAGAGACUGAUCGGCCACAUUGGGACUGAGACACGGCCCAAACUCCUACGGGAGGCAGCAGUAGGGAAUCUUCCACAAUGGACGCAAGUCUGAUGGAGCAACGCCGCGUGAGUGAAGAAGGGUUUCGGCUCGUAAAGCUCUGUUGUUGGUGAAGAAGGACAGGGGUAGUAACUGACCUUUGUUUGACGGUAAUCAAUUAGAAAGUCACGGCUAACUACGUG
rnacentral:rRNA from 1 species